UAUUAUUAUUAUUAUUUUUUUUUUUUUAAGGUGUGGCAAAGCCCCUUGUAUUAGAUGAAUAUAGAAAAUUACAGACUUAGAAUUGGGGUGGGCUCAAUAGAGUAUGUCGCCACACCUAUCAUUUGGAGAUACACUGGGAGAAGAAGUGGCCUUGGACAAGGAAGAGCAGGGAUAACUUUCAAUGCGAAGAAUCCGAAAACUGGGACUGAUGAAGUGAGAGUUAGGGAAUCCGCAGAAGCAAUUCUCUAUCAGAGGAGCCCAAAGGGAGUUAGGCCUCUCCCUUUUUAGUUUUUAUCCUCCUAAUCAUCCCAACGCCGGCUUUGUCCAUCACUAGAGAGCCCUUGAUAUUUCUCGGAAAAAGAGAUUUUGAUCGGUAUUUGUUGUCCGGGUAGCCCCGUUACUUGCAAGUUUUGCAAGGCCAUUUGCAAUUGAAUUGCCUUGACGGAGGGUACGUAUGAGUGAAGCGAAGCGAAGGUUCAUUGUUUCUUUGAGGUUGAGGAUGAAUCCCAAUUGGUACCAAGAGUUUUUUUGAGGUUGAGGAUGAGUCCCAAUUGGUACCAAGAGUUCCAGCAACCUGUGUAGAGAGGGAAUGAAAGGGCUUUUUGUGUAUAAACUACUCUAUCCUUGUGUAUCUUUAUUGCAUUUGAAUUUUGAACCAAAAAUAAAUAAAUUGUAUUCUUGAUA